AGACAGUGGAUUUGAGUUCGUCGAGCAAAUGAUUCUGAUGUUCAUUAUUACAACCAUUGUUUUCUGAGGAAGAAGCUGUGGAUGAAGUAAUUUGAAGCGUUACGAGAAAAAUAAAUAAAAGUGGCUUAAAAAUCGCCAUUAUUGGAGACUGCAACAGAGGAGGACUUAGCACAGUCAGAGAGAGAGAGAGCGCGAGUCGCGAGAGAGAGAGAGAGAAGAGAGGAGACCAGAGACUAAAGCGUACCAAGUCAAAUAAAGGGUCUUCCCAUCUUU
rnacentral:lncRNA from 1 species